rnacentral:rRNA from 1 species
AGAGUUUGAUCCUGGCUCAGGAUGAACGCUGGCGGCGUGCUUAACACAUGCAAGUCGAGCGAAGCGAUUUAAAUGAGACUUCGGUGGAUUUUAAAUUGACUGAGCGGCGGACGGGUGAGUAACGCGUGGAUAACCUGCCUCACACAGGGGGAUAACAGUUAGAAAUGACUGCUAAUACCGCAUAAGCGCACGGUACCGCAUGGUACAGUGUGAAAAACUCCGGUGGUGUGAGAUGGAUCCGCGUCUGAUUAGGUAGUUGGUGAGGUAACGGCCCACCAAGCCGACGAUCAGUAGCCGACCUGAGAGGGUGACCGGCCACAUUGGGACUGAGACACGGCCCAAACCCCUACGGGAGGCAGCAGUGGGGAAUAUUGCACAAUGGGCGAAAGCCUGAUGCAGCAACGCCGCGUGAGUGAAGAAGUAUCUCGGUAUGUAAAGCUCUAUCAGCAGGGAAGAAAAUGACGGUACCUGACUAAGAAGCCCCGGCUAACUACGUGCCAGCAGCCGCGGUAAUACGUAGGGGGCAAGCGUUAUCCGGAUUUACUGGGUGUAAAGGGAGCGCAGACGGCACUGCAAGUCUGAAGUGAAAGCCCGGGGCUCAACCCCGGGACUGCUUUGGAAACUGUAGAGCUAGAGUGCUGGAGAGGCAAGCGGAAUUCCUAGUGUAGCGGUGAAAUGCGUAGAUAUUAGGAAGAACACCAGUGGCGAAGGCGGCUUGCUGGACAGUAACUGACGUUCAGGCUCGAAAGCGUGGGGAGCAAACAGGAUUAGAUACCCUGGUAGUCCACGCCGUAAACGAU